UUGCACGCUGGCGGCAUGCUUUACACAUGCCAGUCGCACGGCAGCGCGGGGCAACCUGGCGGCGAGUGGCGAACGGGUGAGUAAUAUAUCGGAACGUACCCAGAAGUGGGGGAUAACGUAGCGAAAGUUACGCUAAUACCGCAUACGAUCUACGGAUGAAAGUAGGGGACCGCAAGGCCUUAUGCUUUUGGAGCGGCCGAUAUCUGAUUAGCUAGUUGGUGAGGUAAAGGCUCACCAAGGCGACGAUCAGUAGCUGGUCUGAGAGGACGACCAGCCACACUGGAACUGAGACACGGUCCAGACUCCUACGGGAGGCAGCAGUGGGGAAUUUUGGACAAUGGGCGCAAGCCUGAUCCAGCAAUGUCGCGUGAGUGAAGAAGGCCUUCGGGUUGUAAAGCUCUUUUGUCAGGGAAGAAACGGUAGAGGCUAAUAUCCUUUGCUAAUGACGGUACCUGAAGAAUAAGCACCGGCUAACUACGUG
rnacentral:rRNA from 1 species